CUCUUUGCACAGUGGCAGUAUCAUGGCCAAUGAGGUUUAUCCAAGGCAUAAUUGCUAAUUGAAAAUUUUUUCUAAUAUCCUGCCAUGACGACUUGAAAUAUGGUCGGCAUUGGCAAUUUUUGAGUCUCUAUGGAGA